rnacentral:lncRNA from 1 species
ACUAAUAUUUUGUUUUAUUUUUGCUUUUACCCUUUCAGCUAUUUUUUCUUUAUUUUCAUAUUUUUUUCAUGCCAUUUCUUAUUUUAGUUUUCAUCUCCGAAGAGAGAAAGAGAGAACAGUAGCAUGUUAUCUAUUUUUUAAAAUAAAUUUACCUAAAAAUAUGAAACAACUAGACUUAAAUUUAAAAUCUUGGGUGCCAAUAAUCAAACCUUUAGUCACUAAUAUUCGAAAUGUUUAGUAAAAAAUAUAAAAUAAAAAAUAAGCAAAACGAAUAGCAUGUUAUCUUUCUUUAUAAAUUUUAAAAAAGAAUCACCAGCAAUAUAAAGAUUUAGUUAAAAAAAAAAAAAACGAAACGAAUGGUAUACUAUCUUUUUCUAUAAUUUUUUUUAAAACAAGCUCAACUUUCUGAUCACAAACUACAGCUUAAAAUUAGUUUUGAUUGGUACUCUGCUCAUUUGCUGCUAGAGAAGUCAGUGGGUUGGAUACGGAAACGGAUAUUCAAAAACUGUUAGUUCGAACCCUACUAUGAAACCGUCGAAAUUUGGAAAUCUAUAACAAACUCCAAUCCCAACAAAAAAAAUUCAAAAUCCGGACGCAAAAACAAUCAUUUAUCUUCACCGUAUGACAAAGGGCUUGGUGGUUGGUAUCCAAGAUCCCAAGUUCAAAUCCUAAUUGAUUCACAUUUCCAACUAAAUUUAUUUCUAAAUGAAAUAAACGAAACGGAUAGCGUGAUAUCUAUUUCUUAAAAAAACAAAAAAAUUUAAAAAUAUCCACAGUAAAAAACCACUAUAAAAAAAAACUAUAACAAAUAAUAUUUUUAUAAAUAUAUUAUAUUAUUAUAAAAUUGGUUUGAGUUUCAGAUCCGAACCUAAAUCCGUCAAAUUUUAAUUUUUAAUUAUACUCAUAACUAAAAUUAUACUAAUUUAGCAUCAGGUAAAUCUGUUUCAUUCCAAUC